AGUGAACGCUGGCGGUAGGCCUAACACAUGCAAGUCGAACGGCAGCACAGUAAGAGCUUGCUCUUACGGGUGGCGAGUGGCGGACGGGUGAGGAAUACAUCGGAAUCUACUUUUUCGUGGGGGAUAACGUAGGGAAACUUACGCUAAUACCGCAUACGACCUACGGUUGAAAGCAGGGGAUCUUCGGACCUUGCGCGAUUGAAUGAGCCGAUGUCGGAUUAGCUAGUUGGCGGGGUAAAGGCCCACCAAGGCGACGAUCCGUAGCUGGUCUGAGAGGAUGAUCAGCCACACUGGAACUGAGACACGGUCCAGACUCCUACGGGAGGCAGCAGUGGGGAAUAUUGGACAAUGGGCGCAAGCCUGAUCCAGCCAUCCCGCGUGGGUGAAGAAGGCCUUCGGGUUGUAAAGACCUUUUGUUGGGAAAGAAAAGCAGCAGGUUAAUACCCCGCUGUUCUGACGGUACCCAAAGAAUAAGCACCGGCUAACUUCGUG
rnacentral:rRNA from 1 species